rnacentral:lncRNA from 1 species
UUUAACUGUUGUCUGCUAUGUCAAAUACACUAGAAAUUUUAUUAAUAUACAUAAAAAUGGUUGGAUAUAGCCUAUAAAUUUCUCAAACAUUGAUUUCAUACUAUACCUGUAGAGAGAAGGUAAUUAAUUCUGUAACUCAGAGACAACCACUGUCAUUUAUUAAGACUAUCCUACUUCCUAAAUAUUGUGAAGAUUGGUAAUGAGAGUCAAAAAUCUUGGGUUAGAAUCCAAAGCCUCAGAUCGUGCUUCUCAGUCAUUUCAAUUGUUUGAAUUUUACUCAACUGAAAUAAGGCUCCUCUCCAUGUUCAUCCCUUUCUUAAGUCUAAGGCCUUAAAACAAAGUUAUCCCCAUGCUGGGUAGAAUUGCUUUCACUCUAAAUCCCAGAAGUUACAUGAUCAGAGCUAAGUUAUAUGUCACUGAGAAGAGUUUAUCUAAAUGGAUUAAAAAGUAACCUGCACAUUACCAAGUUAACGUUAUUGAAUAUAUUAGUGUUUACAAUGCCUUUAUUUUUUUUUUUAGCCAUGAAGGGCAAACAGUGCCUUCAUUAAAUGUGUUCCUUUAAUGACAUCUUUAAUCUACAUAAUAAUUGUUUGCUUCCUUAAGUUUCUUCUCAUCAGCUGAAAGUUUAACUUUGCAAAUGGAAUAUUCUCAGAAGAGUGGUACUGUUAAUAGCGCUGAAUUCCUAACAGAAAGACACAAGAAGAUCUUGUGCAAAUUAACCAGGACCCAGGAGGAAGGCCAUGCUCAUUUGGCAAUGAAGACUUCAUCACCCGCAGUAGGUGAAGAACUAAAAGAUCUUGAUAUGUGAUUUAAGAGCAUUUGCUAAAACUUUCCAUGGUAAUGAGCUAGGAUUAAUACCUGUGCUAAAGAAUGCACUGGUAAGUGCAGUAUCUCAAGAUAAGUUUGGAAGUAAUAACAAUGAAGUAUAUUGAAUUGCAUAGCUGUUUCUAAGGGCCAGUGAUGAUGAGAGGAGAAAAAAAAUUAUGAGGGUGAUUAACGUAAAGCAGAUUGAGAAUGCCAGAGGGCUUCUUAGAAGCAUAUAAAAGAACAGGGAACAGAAAGAGACUGAGAAUCUGGACCAAACCUUAAUUAUGAGACUACAGAUCUCCAAGAAAUGUUGAAUUGUUAAUUCUGGCAGUUCUGCUAUACCAAGAUGAGGACUCCGAUUGAGAAAGGGUAGAUACCUAAGGUUUAGGAUGAAGCGUAUGGAUUGAUGCACUUGAAAAUGGUAAAAUCUCAGUUUUUCUCAAACCUUCUGAGAUUACAGAAGUUUCUCACUCCUCCCUAUUAAAGUGAAGAUGUACCUCUUGCUUUAAGAUGAAGCAAAGGCUUAUCUCUCACACAACACAGGUUUCAUUCAGGAUCUGGCUCUAACUCCUCUCUGGUCCAACAGAUUUAAACUACAGCCAAGUCAUUUGUAACUCAGCAGACAUAGUACUGGGCCUCCUAAAGGAAGGAAGGACAUUACAUAUGAAAACAUUGCAGAAGCUAGCCAGGCAGGGUUUGGGUUGGCUGUGUAUUCCAUGAAAUAGUACAUUGACCCCCUUGGCCAAUAAUCUCAUGUUAUUCAGACUGUAUGAGCUCAGAAGGUGUGGGUAAACACAACAUAGUUUCUGUGUUUACCUCAGUGAAAUUUUAGAUUUCCAGUGGCGUGAGGCAUGCUAAAAUAGUCCAUUAAAGUAACAUGCACGUUAUUGCAUUUUGCAUCUCUCAUCACUAAGAAGGAAGCACGACUUCUAGUAGGCCCAUCUGGGUUUCAGAAGUAGCAUAUUUCACAAUGUUCAUUGUGCUCUAUCCAUUUGCCAAGUUACCAAGAAGUCUGUCAGCUUUGAUAAGAACCAGAUAAGGAAAGCACUCUUCAGCAGAUCUGGGCCGUUGUGCAAUUAGCCUUAACAGGUUUAGGUAACUUACACAAUUAAACCUUUGUGUCAUCACAGAAAUGCCAAGAUAAGUAUUAUUUUACUUCUGUUACAUGUGAGGAAAUUGAGAUCCAGUGAUAACGAGAAGUGAGUUCAUGCCAUAUUAAUAUGUAUUAGAACUAGGAUGUAAACAUGUAGCCUUUUUAAUGGGAAAUACAAGAGUCAUGUCACUCUAUAUUGCUACGAGUGUGAAGUGUGAUUUUUACCAUGUUCAUAGAAAAAUAAAACUUCAUCUGGAACUCAAAAAUGUUGACUAAUGAGGCUGAUAUUACAGAAUAAAUUAGACCAUAGGUCAACUAACUAUGGCCCCGGGGACCAAAUUCACCUCUCUACCUAUUUUUGCAAAUAAAUUUUCUUUGGAACACAGCCACAUCUAUUUAUUUAUGUAUUGUGUAUGGCUGUGUUCAUACUACAAUGACAAGUUGAAUAGUUGUGAUCUAUAAUUAAUGACCUACAGAGUGUAAAC